UGGGAAAAAAUAGUACCACCAUUACCAUCCAGCAGCAAGCCAUCCUGGUCCUGCGUUGAAUCUUCAUCGUCGCUCUGGAAAAACAUAAUCAGGAAUUUCACUGGUAGCUAAGAUCUGUUAUUUUGGACAAUGAGUAGGCCUCAAGUGAGAUGGAAUGAAGACAACUUAUAUGAAAUUGAAGCCAAUAAACCAGUGAGGCAGAAAAUAACUGAACCUAAAACACCUUAUCAUCCUAUGGUUGAGGAUGAUGGUAAGUCCGCAAAUGUUGAUUUAUUCAAA